GUGGGUAUAGCUCAGUGGUAGAGCAUAGCUUAGCAUGCAUGAAGUCCUGGGUUCAAUUCUCAUUACCUCCG
rnacentral:tRNA from 1 species